AUACGUAGGGGGCAAGCGUUAUCCGGAUUUAUUGGGUUUAAAGGGUGCGCAGGCGGGAGAUUAAGUCGGCGGUGAAAUUUUGCAGCUCAACUGUAAAAGGGCCUUCGAAACUGGUUUCCUUGAGUGUAGAUGAAGUAGGCGGAAUUUGUGGUGGAGCGGUGAAAUGCAUAGAUAUCACGAGGAACUCCGAUUGCGCAGGCAGCUUACUAAACUACUACUGACGCUCAGGCACGAAGGCGUGGGGAUCAAACAUGAUUAGAUACCCUGGUAGUCCACGCAGUAAACGAUGAUUACUAGCUGUUUGCGAUACAAUGUAAGCGGCUGAGCGAAAGCGUUAAGUAAUCCACCUGGGGAGUACGGUCGCAAGAAUGAAACUCAAAGGAAUUGACGGGG
rnacentral:rRNA from 1 species